rnacentral:tRNA from 1 species
GAACCUAUAGCUCAAUUGGAUAGAGCAGUUGCCUUCUAAGCAACAGGUUGGGAGUUCAAUCCUCUCUGGGUUCA